rnacentral:rRNA from 1 species
GAUAAACGCUGGCGGCGUGCCUAACACAUGCAAGUCGAACGAAGCGAUUUAACGGAAGUUUUCGGAUGGAAGUUGAAUUGACUGAGUGGCGGACGGGUGAGUAACGCGUGGGUAACCUGCCUUGUACUGGGGGACAACAGUUAGAAAUGACUGCUAAUACCGCAUAAGCGCACAGUAUCGCAUGAUACAGUGUGAAAAACUCCGGUGGUGUGAGAUGGACCCGCGUUGGAUUAGCUAGUUGGCAGGGUAGCGGCCUACCAAGGCGACGAUCCAUAGCCGGCCUGAGAGGGUGAACGGCCACAUUGGGACUGAGACACGGCCCAG